GCCCUGGUGGUGUAAUCCGGCUAUCAUGAAGCCCUGUCGCGGCUUCGAUUCGGGUUCAAAAAUUCGGAACUUUAUGUUUCGCAAUAUAUCGGCGGAGUCAGUUGUGAGCGAGUUCGCAACGAGCUCACUCGCAUUCCACUGCCGCUGUUGAAAAUCCCGACCAGGGCG
rnacentral:tRNA from 1 species